CAGUAGCCGCGGUAAUACGUAGGUGGCAAGCGUUGUCCGGAAUUAUUGGGCGUAAAGGGCUCGCAGGCGGUUUCUUAAGUCUGAUGUGAAAGCCCCCGGCUCAACCGGGGAGGGUCAUUGGAAACUGGAAAACUUGAGUGCAGAAGAGGAGAGUGGAAUUCCACGUGUAGCGGUGAAAUGCGUAGAGAUGUGGAGGAACACCAGUGGCGAAGGCGACUCUCUGGUCUGUAACUGACGCUGAGGAGCGAAAGCGUGGGGAGCGAACAGGAUUAGAUACCCGUGUAGUCCCUGUCUCUUAUAC
rnacentral:rRNA from 1 species